rnacentral:rRNA from 1 species
AGUGAACGCUGGCGGUAGGCCUAACACAUGCAAGUCGAACGGCAGCACAGAGGAGCUUGCUCCUUGGGUGGCGAGUGGCGGACGGGUGAGGAAUACAUCGGAAUCUACUCCGUCGUGGGGGAUAACGUAGGGAAACUUACGCUAAUACCGCAUACGACCUACGGAUGAAAGCAGGGGAUCUUCGGACCUUGCGCGAUUGAAUGAGCCGAUGUCGGAUUCGCUAGUUGGCGGGGUAAAGGCCCACAAAGGCGACGAUCCGUAGCUGGUCUGAGAGGAUGAUCAGCCACACUGGAACUGAGACACGGUCCAGACUCCUACGGGAGGCAGCAGUGGGGAAUAUUGGACAAUGGGCGCAAGCCCGAUCCAGCCAUACCGCGUGGGUGAAGAAGGCCUUCGGGUUGUAAAGCCCUUUUGUUGGGAAAGAAAUCCAUCUGGUUAAUACCCGGGUGGGAUGACGGUACCCAAAGAAUAAGCACCGGCUAACUUCGUGCCAGCCGCCGCCGUAA